GAUGAACGCUAGCGGCAGGCCUAAUACAUGCAAGUCGAGGGAGAAUGUUGGAUUCGUCUGACAUGAAACCGGCGCACGGGUGCGUAGCACGUAUGCAACCUACCUUUAACUGGGGUAUAGCUCAGAGAAAUCUGAACUAAUCCCCCAUAAGACUACGACAUGGCAUCAUGAUGUAGUUAAAGCUCCGGCGGUUAAGGAUGGGCAUGCGGUACAUUAGCUAGUUGGUGAGGUAAUGGCUCACCAAGGCUACGAUGUAUAGGGGGUCUGAGAGGAUGAUCCCCCACACUGGAACUGAGAAACGGACCAGACUCCUACGGGAGGCAGCAGUAGGGAAUAUUGGUCAAUGGACGCAAGUCUGAACCAGCCAUGCCGCGUGAAGGAUGAAGGCCCUAUGGGUCGUAAACUUCUUUUAUUAGGGAAGAAAAAACGGGAUGCGUCCUGUACUGACGGUACUUAAUGAAUAAGGAUCGGCUAACUUCGUGCCAGCAGCCGCGGUAA
rnacentral:rRNA from 1 species